UUUGUUUUGAUGAUAUGAGAUUAACUUUGAUCAUUGAGUAUUCUAGUCAUCCUGAAGUCUUCUCCAGGGUGAGAAAUUAAUUGCAAGAGUUCAGGAAAGAGCUACUGAUACCAUCCUUAUUCAGAAUGUUGACUGAAAAGACAGAUACUUAUUACUCUACAAGUAAUAAUCCAGCAAUAGAAGUACUCACAUAACAAAGACGGUAAUGCCUGACUAAAGAUAUUAGAAGUCUUAAAGACUUUCAGACUUCUGCUUCUGGGAAGAUGAAGUAGAUAUACUUUCCUAUUUCUUCUGCAAAGUACAACUAAGAACAUUGGAUAUUAUAUAUAAAACACAUGACUCUGAAAGUUGAAGAAGAGAAAGCAGAAUAUUCAGGAGUGGGGG